GCCAGUGUGGUAUAGUGGUUUGCAUGUUGGACUAUGACUCUGGGGAACAGGGUUCAAAUCCUUGCUCAGCCA